GCAAAAUCUGUUGUGGACCAGGGGAGGUUCUUUUUGGAGCGACUCAAAUGAAGACACUGGUUUCCUUUACGCGAGUUUAUGUCGAUCGACUGUUGAAUUUUUACGGUUCCAGGGUCCUUGUCUGGUGACGUCAUCGAAAGCUGAUUUUUCGGUCAUGUAAACUGUAAACGUAAAGUCUUCUUUUAUUUUGAAAGUUGGCUGGGAGAGUCAGGAGACGUGUCAGUAGGACUAGUGGUUCGGUGUUUAUCCAUCUCUGUUCAUCUGCUCCAACGUACAUUUGGAAAAAAAAUGACAGGAAUGACGGCCGGUGAGGCAGUUACGGUCUUUUGUUCCUCACCGACUCGUAGCUACUUUUCCCAGGUCCCUGUCUCCAUGUGGUCAAUACGGAUUGAUUUGAGGAAUGAUGCUACGCUGAAGAUUAAAGACUGGCUGGAAAAAAAGAUAUAAAAACAACUGGUGCUAUCCCGAGAUUCUUCAGAACUUGAAUAUCCCAUUUUUUAAAAUUUUCCUCCACCCCAUCGGGGGCUGCGCCCCUGAUCGGGUGGAGGAGCUCCUAAGGGCUUGCAUAGUAGGCGUGUUGGCCUACUGUGCGAGUCCUUGGAGUUUUAAGUUUUUUCCGUUGCAGAUGACAGUGAGUUUUAAUUUUACUAUUACUAGUAAUUUUUAAGAUCAUAAUCUCGUAAUUUCAGUAGAUAACCGUCGCACCUAAUGUUUUGUACAUAUCUGAUGUUUGUUUGUUUGUAUGGUGCUUUUACGUUGCAUGGAACCAGUGGUUAUUCAGCAACGGGUACAUAUCUAAUGGUUUGCAUAAAUCUGAUGGUUUGUAUAAAACUGGUCUAUGAGUUCCUGUUAAUAGUUCACUUGCAUUGGUAAGCCAUAUAUUAAGUUUUUUAUGGUGAUGGAAUUUAUUACCUUAAUCCACUCUGGUUUUGGUUACUUCUCACCCUAAUAAUGUGAUUUCAAAAGCUAUUUUGUGGAAUAUAUUAGUUUGGUCAGUUUUUUAUAUGUAACAGUUUUCAGUUAAGGUCAAGUUUGAUCUUUAUAGAAAAACUGCUGAAGGAUUAGUACUUCUAGAUUACUGUUUCUGGUUUUUCAAAGCUCCCAGUUCAUUUUUAAGUUUUGGAUCUUGAAAUCUAUUAAGAUCUUGAAAUCCACGGUGUCAACUUUUUAGAUAUUUGGUAUUGGUUAGUAUUUUGAAGGAGGUUUGAUUUGUGCAUUUUGUAAUUCGAAAAGAUUUUGCAUAAAAGAAAACUUACGUCAUGAGCAACAGUGUACUUUUAACUUUAAACUUUUUUCUACUUUGUGUAAAUGUUUGCUUUCAACUUAGUUUUCUCCAAAGUUCUUCCUGUUGCUUUUCAUGACUUCAGGUGACCCUCUUUCUCUAAGGGGCUUAGAAUGGCGAACUCGAGGAUUUGGAGUAAUUGAGUGAUUAGUUCGUGGAUAAAUAUUCCCUUUUCCAUCUGUUACAAAAGCAAGACUUUCUUCAUUUUAGUUUCAAAGUUAUAAAACUGGUUUUGAGAAGAAAUCCUUCUGCGACUGUAGAUUCGUGAUUAAGAGAUCCCAGUGUUUGCGCACCAUCCUGUAAUUACCUAUGUUUGUAACC